AAAUAAGAAGUAAAAUAUUACAGUUAGUUUCGACCUAACCUCUUGGUACCCAAUACCCUUAUUUU
rnacentral:tRNA from 1 species